GGUACUCAUGAUUGGGACCUACCAGGGUUUAUUUAACCAAACAGUCCCCUACUGGUGGGCAUUGGGGUUCGCCCAAUCUUUUGAUUUUAUAAAUAAUGCCACAGUGAAUAGCCAUGUUUUGGUUUGUCAAGUUGUACCUUCAGGGUAGAUCCCUGGAAUAAAAUGGUUGGGUUAGAGGGUACUCGCCUACGCCACUGGCUUGGAUGUCAAGUUCCCCACCAUUUUGCACUCACACAGCAUAGCCUCAGCCUGGAUUGUCACACUUUGGGAUUUUUGGCAAUGUGAUAAGUGAGAAACGAAGGUUCCAUGAAGUGUUCAUAUGCAUUUCUCUAAUUGUAAGACUGAACACAGUUUUCUACACUGGAGCCGUUUGCCUUUCUUUUUGCUGUGAACUGUCUGCCCACGUCAUUCACCCAUUUUUCUAUUACAUUUUUGCUCCUUCCUUCUCAAUUUCAAAGACUGAUUUAUAUAUCAAUGCUUUACCUGUGAUAUAGAUUGCAAAUACCCACUGCCCUCCCCCUUGAAGCAUGUCAUUUGUCUUUUGACUUUGGGGUGGCUUUUUUAAAAGAUUUUAUUUAUUCAUGAGAGACACAGAGAGAGGCAGAGACACAGGCAGAGGGAGAAGCAGGCUCCCUGCGGGGAGUCCCAUGCAGGACUCAACCCCAGGACCCCGGGAUCACACCCUGAGCCAAAGGCAGACACUCAACCACUGAGCCACCCAGGUGCCCCUGACUUUGUUUAUCGUGUGUUCAGAGAGGUUUUGUUCCUUGAGGAAGGAGGAAAACAAGAAGCAAAAUCUACCAGUGCUUCCUCAGCUAUGUCCUCGGGAUCUCAGGCCACUUUUGCCCCUUCCAGGCCAAGAAAACUGCCCGGAAUCAGAUGUGUAAAUAUCCAGGACCUGGUGAGACAGGGAGCCAUGGAGCCCAGUGUGAGCAUGGUGAUGACUACCACACCUCUUCCCCUCCAAAGGCUCAGGGGAGUCAGCAAGCAGGGGGAGAAGCAGCCCACAGGGAGAGGCCAAGGGUCAGAUCCUUCCACAGGCUGGGUUUGUACAGAGAAUGUGAAAUUCCUCCUGAACUCGGCAGGACGUGGCAUUUGGACUCCGGUGAGCAAAGCAUUCCACACUCCACCCAUAAUGAGGCAUGAAGGAGGCCAGUCAUGAGAGGGGAGGGGCAGGACCCUGAGUCAGUCCUUCUGAGUGGGACCCUUGCUGACUCACCCAGGCUGUGAGCCCUUCCCGCACCUGGAAGGAGAGACAAACACCAGUGAUCCCAAUUCUAGGACUGGGGAUGUUAGCGUUCCCAACUGCCUCCCUUUGGCUGUGUGGAAUAUGAGGACUAAGAUCAUAUGUGAUAAUAGUAAGUAUUAAUAUCCCUUGGCACUCAACACAGUUCAGUUUGAGCUUGAUGAAAUUUCCACUUCAAUGGGCAGACUGGUUGAGUCUUGGCAGUUCCGUGCAGCCAGAUCUGAAAUGGACCAGGGAGGUUCUAAGUGCUUUCUAUGCAUCGUCUCAUUUGAACUUCACAAGCUCUACAAGGUAGGUUCUCAUUGAGGCAUCGGGGCCCAGGAAAGUAAAAUCCACCCUCAUCACGUAUUCCUUCUCUCUUCCUGUCUGGCUUCAAGAUUUCUCCCAGACCAGGGCUUGCUCUCUGCCAAGGGCAACCCUCAGCCAGCAGGGAUAGGAACCGGUGGAUUCGUGCUCCAACCUCCUGCCCUGGGCACAAGUCAGAGGCACAAUCCACAUAGUUUCUCAGAUGGCCCCCCCAUGAGAUGGAGCUUCAUUUGCCCUUUCUGUCAUCUGCAUUAAUGUGCUCUGUAUGGGCUUUCCCCUUCCCCCUGUCUCACUUUGUUCACUCUUUCAAUAGGAUGACCUAUCAAAUAAACAAUCUGCUCCCAAGGACUUGUCUCGUGGUGUGUGUGUGUGGGUUGGGGGGGGUGGGUAGGGGGAGAUACUUGGUUUCCAGUUCUGACUCUACUCAUUAGUUACAUGGCAUUCAUUCUGGGCCUCAGUUUCCCUGCUGGAAAAUAAGGCUACCAUCUCUGCACAACAUAUGGUGGAGAACUGCUGGUCUGAGGCCAUGAUUUCACUGAGGCAAUGCCUGUGAACAUGUCCUGCCCAGAAAAGGGGUCAACAUGAGGGAUGUGUCAUAUCACCAUCAAUUAUGCAAUUAUGUAGAGUGAAGACAGCAAGGUGAUUCUAUGGAAGCCAGGGAGUCAAUGUAUCCCAGAACAGCAGCAAAGAAUAAAAUAAUGGUCCUCUCUCCUUCCCCUUUGGUCCUUUCUCUAGGACAAAACGUGGUCAGUUCCUCUGGUUCUUUUGCCAGCUUCUAAUCUGGCCACUGUCUUCUGCAUUUUCUAACAGGCCCAUGAUGGCUAUGAGAGUUUUAAUCCCAUCAGCCUACAUGUUGAGUAUUCUCUUUCUUGUCUUUAGCAAGAGAAAGGAUGAUUGGCAUUCAUGGAGUGGCUAAUCUGCUAAAUGCUUUCUAUAAAUGAUCCUUUUGAGUCCUCAUAAGAACACUGCCAAACUGGUAUCAGUAGCUCCACUUUAUAUAUGAGGAAGCCAAUGCCCAGGGGUUGAUGUCUAACGUGGGGGAACUAGAGUGCGAACCCAAGGAUGUCUGCCUCCCAGAGCCUCUGUGUCUCCAAGAUUCUAUACUUUCCCUGUCAGGAGGCCAAGCUCUGCAUCCAUUGUUACGGCUCAUGUAUCUUCCUUAAGAGCUGUCUUCAGUGCCAAAAAAACCAGUCUCAUUGAAAUUUGGUUGAAUAUUAUUGGUUAGCCAUAUGCCUUCUCCCCUUCUCUCUGAAAACAGCACAGUGUGGAAGUUAAACAGGUAGACUCAGGUAUCAGACCAAAUGGGUUUGAAACUUCUUUCCUGCUGGGUGAUGUUGGAUAAGUUACUUAUACUCUCUGUACCUCCGUUUUCUCAUAUGUAAACUGUGGACAAGGGAAUCCUAUUCUAGCUCCUGGAAGGGGCUGUGAGGACACAAUAAGGUAAUCUAUGCACGUAAAGUGCUUAACACCAUGCCUAGUGCAUAAAGGGUGUUCAGUGAACACUGGCAAUUACUAUCCUUCCCAGGAAAGCCCUGGACUGCUCCCCAUCCCUUCCACAUAUGGUUAAGGCUCCCUCCUCUUUGCUCCCUCAGCACCCCAGGAUGCCUAUCAUUAUCAUUUAGGAUUCUGGGCAUUGGCAUUGUCUGCCACUUUACGCCAGACAAUGUGUCUAAGUGUGCUCUCUGAGGGCUGGGGUCUCUGAGGGCAAAGUGUCUAAGUUACGCUCUCUGAGGGCUGGGGUCAUUCCCAGACUGGGUGGGAUUGGGGGGGGGGGUGGCUCUUAGCAGGAUAACCAGCCAACCUGCUAAUCACGCCUCUUGCAAACCAUAAACACUUCGAGGAUAUUCUCCUCCCCAAGCAACAAGAACAAUGCCUGGCUCAUAGCAGGCAACGGAUGAAAGAGCUCCAAACGACUAUGAGCUAUUUUUAAUUUUAAAACAUCAGCCAUCUCCCCUGAGAAAAUUGAAGACAGUUUGGAGAAGGGGCUGGGAUCAGUUCCUCAAAUAGUCCAGCUUCCCUGGACAUGUGAGUAUCCUACCUUCCCCAAGGAGCAAACUCAUUUGCAUGGAUAAAUUCUGAUCUGUGGUUUUUCCAAUCAGUGCUUGUCUGUUUCCCUCCCAGGGCUAUGCACACAGUAGGAGCUCAAUAAAUAGGUGUUUAUUUAUUGAAGUACUCCAGAGCCCCUGAAUUUGCAAACAGAAACCAGAAUUGGCGUCUCCUCCCUUCCAGACCAGGCCUUGGUCCAUCUGGGCAUACAGAUGACCAUUCACCGGCCUGCUCCCUCUGGGAAUACUGUCCUGGCUCCAAGCGGAGCUGCUAAAAGGGGGCCUUUCUCUCAUCUCAGAAAGGCCUCAGAUACCUCACGGUGAGGAUUUUUUCUCAACUGCCUCACUUGACCUUUGGGGCCUAACGGGCAGUGGGCAAAGCCCAGGGAAGGCCUGUAACAAAUGGCCUUCCACCAGCCCACGGCUUACUCUCUUACUCUUGGACUUCCCAUUCGGCACUCUCUGGGUUUUCUGUGACCUUGGAAAGCACAGAAGACCACAACAUUCCCCCCCACCUUUCCCUCUGGGUCAGGUGCCAGUUGGCACCAAAAGUUAGGAGGCUCCUUUCUGUGGUCACAGAACCUGGACCACUGUGUUCCCCCUUUCCUUGUCUUCCUUUGCCAUGGUAGGGGACCAUGGUGUUCAGUGAUCUUAAAUUGUAACAAAAGUACUGACUAACCAGUGUGAGGAUUCCAGGUGGCCUAGGCAAUUACAGCCACUUCCCCUUGCACAUUGGCAUGCUUGAGAAGGGCAGGUGCUCCUGGGCACUGGCCCAGAAACUUGUGCCCCAGUUGAGUUGGCUUCAGAGUGGCUAGUGGAGAAGGUGGCGCACAACGGAACCAGGUGGGAGGAUGUGGGGUGUGAGAAUGUAUUGAAGGAAGAAAGAAAGUUCUAACAGGAGACACUCUAAGGUUUUCUGAGAGAUAUAAGUCAUUGGUAUCAUCUCUUGCUUUUGGUAACUUACCCCAAACUUCUAGCAUUUUUGUAAGGUCAUUUACUAGAGAUCAUACAUGACACAGCAUCAUGAUUCCCAACACAGGUCUGUGUACCAAAGGUUUAGGUUCUUGGGACUGGGAGGCCUGGGUUCCAAUUCCCAUUUACUGGGUGACUUUGGGCAAGACAGAAACUAUUCUAAGCAUCAGUUUCCUCAUCUGUCAAAAGCUUGCUACCUUGUAGGAUCGGAAUAUGGGAAGCAUGGAACCUAACACAUCAAGAGUGCUGAGCAUGUAUCAGGUACCAUGAUUAUCAAGUGCAAAGACAGAGGGGUACACAGGCAGCAAGAGGUUGUCCUACUUGGCUGGAGCUAGGGGCAGAUGUGAAAUGGCACAAAAGACAGAUUGGAGGUCAUGCCACAGCUAUGGCCUGUGGGAAGUUUAUACUUAAAUCAGUGGUCAUAGGGAGCCAUUGAAGGUUUGUGAGCAGGAGAAAGAGGAGAACAGCGCUGGUGCCAGGGAAUAAGGUGAGAAUGGAGAGUUUAGAGACAGAGGAGGACUCAGCCUGUGGUCUUGUCACCAAUGCCCUAUGUUCAGAUCAGGCCAACACCACUCUCCACCCUCAGCCUACACAGCGAGAAGGGACAGUCUUGCCACUGAGGAUCAUGGCUUUCUUCUCCUGUCCCUGAAUGUGAACGUGAAAUCUUGCUCGAAUUUGCUGAGUGAAAAUAACAGAACUCAGUGAGAAAUAGCAGCUCUGCACUCCUUUUUAACCAGGCCCUCAUUUAUUUAAUGCUCGUCCAGGGCUAGUUUUCACACAUGUUUCUUCUCACUUCCCUGGGAUUUCUUUUUUUUUUUUUUUUUUCUUUUCUUUCCCCUCUGCAGUUCUCUCUGCCAGUCUCCAAUAAGGGGAUUCUUAGCAAAGAAUGGCCCAGGCCUGGCAGUCUGUCUCACACACCCAUCAUGUUGAAUCUGUAGGUAGGGAGAGCUGGGGCCAGCUGAGAGUGAUCUGCCAAAGUCAGUGUAAUCACAGUAAAGGAGCUCAGGCUUUGGAAUCAGGCCAUGG
rnacentral:lncRNA from 1 species